GUAAUUUCAUCCACACAUCGCCCCUGUGUGCAGAGACAAUCAUUCAAUGGCAUCUGAGUUUUACUGGAUUUUUCCUCAACUUUAUACAGUCUGAACCCAUUGAAAUCCCUUCCUUUAUUGUUCAUUGCUUCCAAGUAGUGUAGUUCUUAAUAUUUGCUUUCCUAUCUGACCUGGAUUUCUCCUCCUCUGAUGUUAAUUAGGUCCCACUCCUGGAUUUCCUUCUCAGCCUUUCCCAGACCAGGUGUCUUCAGCACUGCCCGGGGCUGUGUCUGGGCAAUCGAACCCCAGGCAGCCCAGUAUGUGAGUGUAAUUGAGAGCCAGAGUGGAAUUUUGCCGUUGUGUUCCCCAGCAGCUGUGGCAGUGCAGGCACAGAAAGUAGAGAAGCUGCAGCAGUGGCAGCAAGGAUUGGCCCCAGUGGCUGGAGAUGCCAAAGGAGGGUGCCCAGGCAGAAGUAGGAUUAUUAGGAAAUAUUAUUCGAAUGGUGUAGUCUUGUCACUGA
rnacentral:lncRNA from 12 species